rnacentral:lncRNA from 1 species
UAACAAACACACAACUCUUAAUCACACCCAAAACCCAACAAAUUCAUAGUUAAUUUGAAGAAAUAAGUCCUUCAAUUAGUACACAUCUAGUAUAUUAAGUUAAUAAAUACAACUGACAUCUAAAUACUUUACUGAAUCAAAUACAUUCAAUACAGAACCCACAUCUAAUUCUGAGAUACAAGUGCAAUGUUGAUUACUCGAUUGAUCACAUAUAAUAAAGAGGGACUCAGCUAGGAGGAGGCAGGAAACAUAAUGCAACAAACUUAAAAUAGAACAACUAGUAUAGCCAACAGAGAAAAAUCUCUUUCUUCAAUUCAACUGGAAACCACAUCUUCACAAACUAGCCUUAUACAGACAUCAAUUCCAUUGAGGGUUCAAAUGAAAUACCUGGGAAAUAAGAGGAAACAAGAAGAAAAUGAGGUUUCAGUAGAUGAAAAAAAACAGUAGAAACACAGUAGGGUUCAACACCAACAGUCCAUUUUAGCCAGAAAAUGAUGUGAAACAGUCCAAAAAUCCACUCUCAAUCGAACAGUAACCAAGGCUAACUUCAGACCAAAAUUUUGAAAACCAAACUCAAUCCAUUUUAACCUCAAAUAAAUCAGAAAAUUAUUUCAGAAAUUGAAAUUCAAUGGAACAGUGUUCUUUAUCAAAAAAAAAAAACCUCAACCGUUUGUGAUUUUCUCAAUUUUCCCCUUAAAGUCUGACUUGAGAGUCAAGUUAGGAUGCCUUUAUUGGCAAGGCAUUAGGGCAGCCCCUUAAGAAACAGUUUUGCACCUUAGUCCUUUUCUCAUUUUUAUUUUUGCUUAGGGAACCUUAGUGUAAAACUCAAAAAUUCAGAAAUGCUCCCACCCCAACUUCCUAGAAGCUUCCAGUUCAGUUAUACAAAGAUUCCCUACCUAGAGUUCCUAAACUACCCCUUGAUCUCCUAAAAUUACCCUCAUCAAAUUACAUGGGUCAAGUAGACCCAGUGUUUCAAUUCUAAGCCUGGGCUAACUCCUUUCCUUUGGACCCAAGUCCAUUUCACUAAUUCAAAUAGAAAGGUCUAGAGGGCAGACAAACAACUGGUAUUGGAAUCAGAUGAGCCUUUGGACUAAAUGUUCCCACUUCGGCCCAAAAUUUGAAAAAUAAGGAAAUUAAGAAACAACUAAACUAAUGAAUCCAAUUAAACAACAAUUAACUCCUACACUAAACUAAGAAGAAACAUGCGAAGAUGAUUUUGAGAAAACGGACGGAUAGAAGAAAAUAAAAGAAGAUAACAAUGGAAGAAUAAAACCGAAAAAAUAACAACAGAAAAAGAAAAAUACCUAAAGAAAUGCCUCAGACAGAAAAAAUGGCGACGAAUCUUCAAACUCUCAAAUCUUCGGCUCAAUCUGAGAUUAAUCAUGUGUUUCUCAUCAAAACACAUAAAUAAAGUCAGAAGGAGCCUAAAAUCUUCACAGAAAUCUUGGCUUAGAAAAUUUGGGGUUUUAUGGUUAGGCUUUGAUCUAAGAUUCGAGGGAAACUAGUAUGUGAUUUAGGAAGAGGGGGUCACGGGGCUUAUGGGGUGUAAUUUUGGUGGUGAACGGAGGUGGCGCCGCCACUCUAAAGCGGUGGGAAAAAGGGGCGGCUGCUAGGGUUUCAGGGGCGGUGUCUCUGAAGAACAGGGGAAGUGAGGGAGAUGAGAUG